rnacentral:rRNA from 1 species
UGGCGAACGGGUGAGUAACACGUGAGUAACCUGCCCCCUUCUUCUGGAUAACCGCAUGAAAGUGUGGCUAAUACGGGAUAUUCUGGGUCUGUCGCAUGACGGGCCCGGGAAAGAUAUUGUUUCGGUGGGGGAUGGGCUCGCGGCCUAUCAGCUUGUUGGUGGGGUGAUGGCCUACCAAGGCGGUGACGGGUAGCCGGCCUGAGAGGGUGGACGGUCACACUGGGACUGAGACACGGCCCAG